GCGCACCAGUCGAGAAACCUCCACAAUGCACGAAAGUGUGAUGGGUUACCCUGAGUGCCAUCCGAUGAGGAUGGCUUUUCACCAGUGUAAGGCGCUGGUGGAAUAAGGGGAGGGCAAGGCUGGUGCCGAGCCGCCGCGGUAAAACCAGCUCCUCGAGUGGUCGGGAUGAUUAUUGGGCCUAAAGCGUCCGUAGCCGGUCUGGUAAGUCCCCGGUUAAAUCCGGCAGCCUAACUGUCGGCCUGCCGGGGAUACUGCUAGAC
rnacentral:rRNA from 1 species